GAAGACUCAGAAGGGGCAAGGCCGCAAGAUGGAGUGGCGAUCCAGUCUACUCUACUCCUUGGGAGCUGUACCUGGUCUGGUGUGAAUAAAUUGCUUAAAAACUCGACUUGAAGCGAAUUCUGGGGACAGCAGUUAAGGGCAUAGACUGGCGUUGCUGCUGAAUGUAUUUCAGAACUGAUGCUGCCAUAUGAUAGUUAACAGAACAGAAGUUGUAAUGGAAUAAUCCAAAUUGCAGAAUGGAUUUGGCCCUAGGAAAUGACCAAGCUUUUGAUAAGUAACAAAAUGUCUUUGUUAGAUGCUGCCGCAAAGUAAAGGUAAAGAGCAGAAUUCAUUCAACAAGAAGACUUAAGUUGUCAAGGAAUAUUGUUUUCUUGAAGUCUCCACAGAAAAGACAUGCAUAUAUUGUCUUAGGUUCUUGAAUUGUUCUAAUGUAUUUAAAAUGCACAAAUGUUGAAGAAACUUUAUGAAGAGACAAAUCAUUGAUUAACAAGAGCCUAAUUCCUUCGUGUAUCGGAAGUGCACAAAUGUUGAAGAAACUUAUGUAGAUACAAAUCACUGAUUUAUAAGAGUGUAAUUCCUUUGAUACACAUGUAAGAGUGUACAAAGAAGAUUUUUCAGGUGUUUCUUAGGUGAGGGAGAUCCCUCUUGAAUAGGUUUACCCUUCAGUCACAUUUCCUGAUAGGGAGUUGGCCAUCAUAGCUUUUGUAAUAAUGGUCUGAUCUUGGAGGUGGUACAUUGGCAUAAGAUUCUUUUACGAAUGAACUUCAGGAGAUAGAGGAUUUUUUUUUUUACUAGAGUUGAUUUCCAUAUGAGGAUUUCUGCUACCCUUGACAUAACUACCAUGUCGUUUAAGUUCAGAAUCAGGAGGAAAAUGGCAGCGUCUUCUGUGAUCUCUAGAUUAAAAAAAAUUUUCAUUCGGUUCAAGUAACGGAAUGGAAAUUAUUUAUACCAGUGAGUAAGGUACAAGUAUUUAACCCACCAGUGUAUGUUGGAGAGGUUUUGAUUUUAUUUUAUACUCUGAUAAGCAUGUAACCAAUUUUCCUUUCAGCACUGGAUGACCUAUUCGGCCACAGUAGUUGUCCUCGAGCCUAAAUUUUAUAUUCUAUUUAACUCCCUUCAGGCAAGUUGGGGUUUUGACCUCUCGUGUAUGAAGAAAUCCUCUGGGUAAAUCCCAGUGAUGUAGUAGAAGGCAAAUGAAGAUUGUAUAUUGGAUAUAUGACUGCCUAUCAAUCCUUAUUUUACAGUAAUUUAUUACUAUUGCUUUUAAGCAUAUGCCCCUGGUGGCAAUGUUUUGGAAGCAUAUUGCGUGAUUUCUUAACCUUAUUUAAAUGUGUGCUUUUUCCAUUUCAUUCACCUCCUAAUUUGUCGUCAUGUUGACGUGGUAAAAACUAGUUACGUUUCAGAACUCGUUUAGAAUAUGACUUGAAGUCUUCAAUCCAGGAGUCAUAUUUAACCAGACUAUUCAAUAGAAUACCUUAGAUGAUAUUAUACAAGCUUGAUCUCUGUUUGGAAGAACACUGGAUUUUUUCAGAAUUAUUGCUUCGCCAAAAGUGUUGUAAUUUAUAUAAGAAAUGGAAUAUGUUAAACUUUUUCACUUUUCCCAUUUGUUGGCGGGCCUGAUAUAUUCUCUCUCUCUCUCUCUCUCUCUCUCUCUCUCAUUGAUUAACAUACAAACUUGACCGAAUGCCUUUUUAGCCCAACUUGGUGUGUCUAUAGCUGAAUUCUGAUUUCCAAAUAAUUAUGGUGGUGGUUGUCUAAUGAUUAAGGUCACAUUGGUAUAUGGUGUAUUUAGUUUGUUCCAAGUAAGGUCACAUUCUCCUUCGAUUUGUGAAGAAUAUAUUUGUAGUAUAUGGUUAAAAUUAAAGAAUAAUAUGAUGUGAUAGGGAAGACCUUCACUCAAAGUGUCCUUUGCCUGAAGCUGUUUCUUCCUUGAAAAGAAAUCUUCCAUAACUGGAGACAAAGAAUUCCAAUUAUUUUCCACUUGCCACUCAGCAAAUGAAAAUUUGUAACCAAAGUUGCAACGGAGGUGGCAGGUCUUCAACUUCCAGCAUUGUUAGACUUGAGAGGGGACAGACUUUAAGUAAUCUUUCAGCUGCAUCUUUCUGAAAAAUAGUCUCAUUUCAUAGGGGUCUAUUAUGAGUCUACUAAGUAAAAAUCUCAUUGUAACCUUUACCUUUCAAGAUAAUCUUUUAUCUCAAUUUUGCUGAUUAUUUCGACUAGUACCCGUGAAUGUUGUCCACACGGGUGAGGCGAUGGAGAGGUGGGCGUACUCGACGAUGCCAGUAGUGUGUUCAGUGCGGUACGAUAAACAUGGUGCCUACCACAAAGAAGAAGAUAGUGUAGCACGAUAAUUGCUUUGUGUGAUGGCGCAAAGAAUGGCUCUGUAAAAGAAAUGUAUAUGGUUAACGUACGUCUGCCAGGGUCGAAGUUCAAGCCAUCGGGCACCACCAUGGUGAUUUUGCUACAGGACCCAUCUGGCGGUUUGCCCGUUAGAAGGGAAGUCCGCCGAUCAGGCCCGAUAGUGUGGACAGGCCUUAAGACUGGUUUCAGUCAAGCCUUUGUUUACUAUUCAUAGCAUGUGAAAAUUGCGGAAGUGAAGAUGGUGGAUCGUGUAACUCCUAGCGCUGUCGCUAGGAAUCUUGGAGCUAGUGCUAGUGCUUUGCUUUUGAGGUCUUUCGUUAGUUUGGGUGGAUGAUGCUAGCUAGCAUUGUGGUGGGUUUUGAGCACAAUACAAGCUCAACUCACAAUGUUGCUUGGUUUCUUCAAAAAUAGUCUAGGGGUUGGAAUGUGUUAACCUUCCUUGCUCGAUCAUGUCUUUCAGAUAUACUUGACGGCAUUGAGGUGACAAUUAACUUUCAUAAUCAAGAAUUCCAAGUAUGUGUUCCCCCUCCGUAUUCUUCUCCAUGUAUUGUCAUGAUAUACCCAUAGUUAACAUUUAAGAAGAGGGCAUUAAGAGUAAGGGAACACAACAGUAGUGAAGUAUGCAAGUUUAUACUGAAGACUUAGUUUAAAGUUCUAAUAAUGUUUAAAGUAU